rnacentral:lncRNA from 1 species
GGUCCAUCCGUGUACCCGGUUGCCCGAAUGUUCAAAUUCCCUCUAGCAUUCCUAAAGCGGGCCAAUCUGUUUGAUGCGGGUUAGGGCUUCAUCGAAAUCUUCAUACUCAGUGGGCCUAAAUCCAGUCCAUAAUUCUUCUUCAAAUACGGCCUAGCUAAUCUCGCGGCCUUCUUCCUUGUAAGUUUUGCUCAGCCACUGCCACCAACAAUUGGCUUCCCCUUCCAAGUGAGAUGAGGUGAGGGCCACCCGGUGUGAUGCAACCGUCGUUUGGAAAUCAAAAAAUUGAUUGACGCAAUUGAGCCACUCCGUGGGGUCGCCACCAGAAAAGGAUGGAAAUUCUAGUUUGGUGAGCUUCGGGUAGAAUGGUUGUCUUCUGUCAUCCCUUUCUAGCCCUUCUAUGUGGCGGAUUUACGUGAGAAUCAGGCAACUGAUAUGGUUGCUGCUGGAGCCCUCCCAGUUGGAAGCAAUCGCGUUGCUCAGCCGCUGAAGGUUUUCUUCAAUCAAACGGAGCUUGUCAGCCAUGCCGAUUUCUAGCCGGCUAACGCUAUCCUGCAAGCUACCGAGACCUACUUCCAAGUUCUCGACCUGCUCUUUGUUGGAAGUCAUGAUAUUCUAGCUCUAAUACCACUGACAGGUCCCAGUCAAAGCUAGUUUACAGUGAGGAUAAUUUUUCUGCUUAUGGUGAGAAAAGAACCAAGUUUUUCGAUUUUAAUUCGUUGCCUUUUUAUUCAGAAGCUGAUCGCUUAAAUACAGAAUUUUAAACCAAAUUCCCCACUCUUACAAACAAGAUAAACUCAAAUUCCUAAUUUUAUAAUCUGAUAAGAUAAACAGAAAAUUAACAAAUGCUGAAAACGUGAGAGUAGCUUCUGCUAAUAGUGGGUUUUUGACCGAGUCUGUUGGAGUGUAUUUUCAACACGUGCAGCACCUGUUUCCUUGUCUUUCAGUUCUAGUUUAAUCCAUAUAUUUUGGAUUCCUUCUUGGGAUCCUUUAGUAUUUUCUAGCCUUAUCAAAUUGUACUGACAUGAAGGAUCAAGUUGCAGCUUUGUUCACAAAAUGCUUGAGUUUACAAGUUUCUAUCAUCAGCCUGGGGUGGUGCUAAGAAUAGAAGUUGAUGUUGAGGAGGAGUGUUAAAGUUACAACACUAGUUAACACGUGGUCAUCAUUUUGACUGAGUUAGUGUCUAUCUUAGUUUAAUUUGUUACUAUAGAUGCUAGAUUUUAUCUCUACCCGUUAGUAGAGAAGUUAGUGACAGAGGAUAACAUCCAGUUUAAUGUCUAUUUUAGUUUGAUUUAUUGAGAUAAAUGUUAUAGAGUAUAUCUCUACCAAUAGUGAAAAAUUAGUGGCAAAGAAUAAAAUCGAGUUUAGUGUCUAUGUUAGUUUAAUUUAUUAAAAUAAAUGUUAGAGUUAUCUCUACCCAUUAGUGGAGAAGUUAGUGGACGAAAAUAAGAUGAAGUGACUUUUAUUUACAUUAAUUGUAUAAGGCAGCCCUUUUGCAUCAAAUGAAUCAAUUCUUUCGGAGCUUCAUUUUUGUUUUAAGAAAUAUAUUUCAUUGAGUACAUUUCUUCUCUGUAAUUUCGACGAUCAAACCUCCAAAAGAACUAAAAAUUAGCAUUUACCAAGAGUAGAGACCAAAAAAAUUAGCCUCUAUUAGCCAAAAAUUUAGAAAGUCAACCAUAAGUAGUAGCAAGAAAACAAGGUAAAAGCUGCACUAACCAUUACAACAUAUCACACAUAGCUCCAGUCUUCCCUAAUUUUUUCCAAAUUCACAAAAAAAAUUUCUUUUCCAACAUGAUCAUAUGGGU